rnacentral:rRNA from 1 species
CACGUAGGCGGAUAUUUAAGUCAGGGGUGAAAUCCCAGAGCUCAACUCUGGAACUGCCUUUGAUACUGGGUGUCUUGAGUAUGAGAGAGGUGUGUGGAACUCCGAGUGUAGAGGUGAAAUUCGUAGAUAUUCGGAAGAACACCAGUGGCGAAGGCGACACACUGGCUCAUUACUGACGCUGAGGCUCGAAAGCGUGGGGAGCAAACA